AGCUUUGUGCAGUGGCAGUAUUAUAGCCAAUGAGGUUUAUCUGAGGCACAAUUAUUGCUAAUUGAAAACUUUUCUCAAUACCUCAGGAAUAUUAAUUGAACAAAGUUUGUUUU
rnacentral:snRNA from 1 species